GCCUAACUUCCUCUCCCACCUCCCUUCAUCAAGGAGCAGUCUCAUGCCCAGGAGCUAGAAAUGUAGGCUUUGCCGGCAUUGGUUGAGCUGUGCUGGGCCCUAGGCAGCGAUGACUCAAACUUGACCCUUAACCCCCAGGCAGGUGCUUGCUGCAGAGGCAUCGGGGGUCUCUGGCCAGAGGUGACAUCUGAAGCAAUCGGGAUCCUGUUUGGUUUUGCCACAUCCGACCUGCCGCCCAGCUGGGGCAAGACAGCCACGCGCGGCGGAUGCACCGGCCCUGAACUCUUUCUCGAGUAGUCCCCAGAGAUUUCAGGAAGAGAGAGAAGAGGUAAAGAGACCAGAAACAAAGUCUUCUGCAAGCAAAGAACUGCAACAGGCCCCAGCUGUUAGGUUUGAGGGGCGUAUGGGGCAGGCGACUGAACUGCAGAGUUGGAGCCAGAGGUACCAUUGCUGACCCCUGAGCCCAGGAGCCUUGAGAAUACUGACAGUGUUAAUAAUAACUGCAAUCAUCCAACAUAUGAUGCUAGAAUAACUGGACAUCUGUGUGCAAAAAUAUUAAACCUAUACCUUGCACCUUAUCACAAAA
rnacentral:lncRNA from 1 species